rnacentral:rRNA from 1 species
UACGUAGGGUGCGAGCGUUAAUCGGAAUUACUGGGCGUAAAGCGUGCGCAGGCGGUCUGUUAAGACCGAUGUGAAAUCCCCGGGCUUAACCUGGGAAUGGCAUUUGGGACUGCAAGCUUGGAGUGCGGCAGAGGAGACUGGAAUUCCUGGUGUAGCAGUGAAAUGCGUAGAUAUCAGGAGGAAUACCGAUGGCGAAGGCAGGUCUCUGGG